rnacentral:rRNA from 1 species
AUUGAACGCUGGCGGCAGGCCUAACACAUGCAAGUCGAACGAGUGGCGGACGGGUGAGUAAUGUCUGGGAAACUGCCUGAUGGAGGGGGAUAACUACUGGAAACGGUAGCUAAUACCGCAUACCAUCGGAUGUGCCCAGAUGGGAUGAGCUAGUAGGUGGGGGAAAGGAUCACCUAGGCGACGAUCCCUAGCUGGUCUGAGAGGAUGACCAGCACCACUGGAACUGAGACACGGUCCAGACUCCUACGGGAGGCCGCAGUGGGGAAUAUUGCACAAUGGGCGCAAGCCUGAUGCAGCCAUGCCGCGUGUAUGAAGAAGGCCUGCGGGUUGCAAAGUACUUUCAGCGGGGAGGCGUUACUCGCAGAAGAAGCACCGGCUAACUCCGUGCCAGCAGCCGCGGUAAUAC